AAACGAUGAAUACUCGAUGUUAGCGAUAUACAGUUAGCGUCAAAGCGAAAGCGUUAAGUAUUCCACCUGGGGAGUACGCCCGCAAGGGUGAAACUCAAAGGAAUUGACGGGGGCCCGCACAAGCGGAGGAGCAUGUGGUUUAAUUCGAUGAUACGCGAGGAACCUUACCCGGGCUUGAAAGUUAGUGAAUGAUUCAGAGACGAAUCAGUCCUUCGGGACACGAAACUAGGUGCUGCAUGGCUGUCGUCAG
rnacentral:rRNA from 1 species